rnacentral:misc_RNA from 1 species
AAAGACGGUUACGAUAGCAUGGACUGGUAUACAUAUGUCUUCAGUCAACGAUGAUGGUGUUUUGUGUGCUUACGGGCUUGCAUUUUAAACGGCUCCCGCCGAUAAAAAAGCUACCGCAGAGUAUUGGUCCAAAAGAUUCCAGAAAUAACCAUCUUGAACUUCUUCCAUCGACGACCCAAAGGCUGGCAAUACUGAUUCCAUAAGCCAUAGGCGUAGAAGGACUUGUAAGUCUGGUUAAAUCCACCUGCGCUCGAAAUACAUAACAACAAAAAAGUGUCAUGGCGUCCAAGGCCCAUGUGGACAACACGGUGAAUGAACGCCGACUAAGACCGAUUUAUGACUGGCUGGAUCAUGGAAAUAAUAAAAAAGCUCUUCAAGAAGCCGAAAAGGUGCUUAAAAAACAGCCGAGUAAUCAAUGCGCCAGAGUCCUCAAGGCACUGGCUUUACUUCGUCUUGGCAAGGAAGAUAAUUGCCAGAUGAUAAUGGAAGAAGUACGUGCUGAGGUUCCCUGCGAUGAUUCUACCCUUCAGGCCAUGAGUAUCUGUUAUCGGGAAAUACAUAAACCGGAUAAAAUCAGUGAGUUGUACGAAGCAGCAGUCAAAGCAGAUCCAACCAACGAAGAACUUCUUACGCAUCUAUUUAUGUCCUACGUGCGUCUAUGUGAUUUUAAAAAACAACAGCAAACAGCGGUUGCUCUUUACAAGCUGAAGCCCAGGAAUCCUUAUUAUUUUUGGGCUGUGAUGAGCGUAGUAAUGCAAGCUAUGCAAGCUGAUGAAAGGUUGGCAAAAGCUGUUGUACUACCACUUGCUGAGAGAAUGGUAUUGAAAAUGGUGAAUGAAGGCAGAAUUGAAGCAGAACAAGAAGUUCAUUUGUACCUUAUGGUGUUGGAACUUCAAGGAAAAGAGGAGGCAAUUAUGGAGGUUUUAACAGGACCUCUUGCCUUCCGUUUAUCAUCUCUCCCUCAACGACGAGCCACACUUAUGUUGCAGUUGCAUCGAUACUCGGAAGCAGCUAGUACCUUUAAAGAACUGAUGCAUGAAGACAUUGACAACUGGACCUAUUAUCGUGACUACUUAGCAGCUGCACUAAAAUCAGAAACACCACAAAAGUGCUUGGAUCUUUUAAACGAGAUUAUUGCAACAAAGGGUGAGAAAGCAAGAGCUCCUCGACUUGCCCGUUUUGAACUGCUGAAACAUGCACGCUUAUUAAAAAUUGAGCUGAACUCGCUUGAUUCUACACAACUGAUGCACCAAUAUUUUACGCAGUUCGGGGAGAAAGGAUGUGUAGUUGGAGACUUGAAAUUGUACUUACACCUUCUAAAGCCAGAUGAACGACUGCAUUUAAUUAAAAAGCUUGAGCAAGACGUGGCUGUUGGUGCCGAUGAUUAUCCUACUACCAUAGGACAGAUGCAAAGACACAUUCAUUUAGAGCAAUUACGACGCAUAUGUGGCCUACAUCAUUCUCCUACGACUAGUAUAGAAGAGAGAAUCAGUUUGGCAGAUCGUCUAUGUGACCUUCAUAAAAAGGGAAAUGCACUUUGUCCUGCAAGCGAUCGAUUGCCAACUGACUUCUGUCCUGCUGAUGCAUAUGGUCUUUUGGCCACUCACUUGUUUCAUCAGCUUUGGGUUGAAACGCAAGAAGCGUUGUACCUUUACAGGGCAAUGGCACUACUAGAGCAAAGUCUUGUGUCAAGUCCUUCCAACUUUCACACAAAAAUUUUACUGGUACGAAUUUAUCUUGAAGCUGGUCUUGUUGGGGCAGCUAAUCAUAUAUUCGCGUUACUAGACGUCAAACAUAUACAGUUGGAUUCAUUGGGGCACCUGCAUGCCCCACUUCUUGCACCCUUGGGACAUUUAUCACAGGCAUCUUCAACUCUCGAUCAUGCUGCAAAGUUCUUCGUAACAAAUUACAAAGAUAGCGCAGACCAUUUAACAUUUGCUUAUAAGUAUGGCAGUUUCGUAAAAAUCCAAGAGUUUGUGGAACUAAGGAAACGAUUGGAUAAUUCAUUACAUUUUGCGAUGACAACUGUGGAUAAAAUGUUACUCGAGCUUAGUUGGUGCGAUAGUCCUAAUAUCCUCUCCGUCAUGCUCACUUCUAUGCGGAUACAACCCCAUGAAGAUUCAAUUAGAUGGAACCUCAUCAGAGACAAUAGAGACCUUGAGGUGGUUGUUGGAUGGGAGCCUUUAGAUAGCUAUGAGAAAGACCCUCGUUUUCGAGAAGAGACUGUAUCCUGUAUGCUGGUAUUACUUUCUGCUCGCAAUUUACUAUUGCGGAUAGUCGCAGCAGCAGCUGAAACUGAAUCAUCGCCACUUUUAGCUCAACUGGGUACUGAGCUUGAGAAGUUGCAACAAGAACGUAUUCCUGAGGUUUUAGGUCAUUUACAAGAUCGGGGAAGCAGUGCACAGAGCAUUUUGGUACCUUUAGAUGCGAUAGAGCGUUUGAAAGAAGCUCAUGAGUCGGAACAAUUGAAAAUCAUUGCACGACUUGCAAAGUGUCUAUCACGCUCUUCGUCUCCUGAUUCUCAGUGCCUACAGGACUUGGAUGCAACCCCAGGCCUUCGAACUCUUCCAAUGCCGUGUCAACAAACUCCAGCUUCAUACAAACGAUUUCUUAUGAGAGCAGUGACAUGUGGUGAAACACUCGCAUUGAUUGGGGCUGUAUGCUGUGGUUAUACCACAUCUCAAACUCCAUCCUCAAAUAAAAAAAAUAAUAAAAAGUCGGGCAAAAAAAUCAAAUCACCUCAGCCUGAUCAAUUAACGGAUGGUUGGAAAGACAUAGGAAACUUACUAGUGGAAAGAGCUAGUGUAUUGGAUUCAGUUCUUUCAAUGUUAGAAAAGGUACAAUUGCAAACAGGGCUGGAUUCUGAAGAAGCCGUAACAGCAACUGUGGUACAACGUAGUCAAGAAAGCAUCGCACAAAGUUCUAGGGAGAUUAAGUCUCGUGUGCAGUUAACUAUAAAACUAUUAAAUAGCCUGAAUAGUUGAAAAUAUUAGAAAAACGUCUGUACAAAGAUCAUCCAUCAAUUCGUUCACUGGUCUGAGAGUGCCAUCUUGUUAUUUAUGUACAUAAGGCUUCGCCACAGCAAACCAAUACCCAUGAGAUUAUAUCUGUCGUAGGCAUCUAAUAAAAUCAGGCAUUUAAUUAAAAGCCUAGUCAUCUAAUUAAAUGCCGGCAUUUAAUGAAAAUCGUAUUGAUGUCUUUCAUUUACCAUUAUCUGUCUAGGGAUUAACUUAAAUGCCGGCAUCUAAUUGAAUGCCAGCCGGAUCUUCAGGCAAAUAAUAAAAAAAGCAAAUGUAUAUCCACGCACGAUCCGCCCGUGUUUACCACGCAUGUUCACCUAGCGACAGUUUGAAAACAAAUAUUAUGCCCAAUUAAUUCAAAUAGAAGCAGUCGGUCAGUAACCGUGAUUGAGUAUACAGAUUCGCCAAUUUAUAAAUGAUUGGAAAUUCUUGAAAAUGGAGAGAAGUGGUGUUUGUGAAGAAACAUUUUUGCAAAAAAUCAAGCAUAUCAUGGAUUUCAAUAAUGGAAAAAGAGUGAUGUGGGAUUGUGAGCACUUUGAAAAAGUGAAAACGAUUUUGAGUAGACCGGAAGCGAAAGCAGAUAUGUCUCACUACUACUACUUCAAGAAAUAUGAAUUGUUGCAAAUCGGGUCUGUGAGUAGUAUUGUCUUGAAGCGGAGUAGCGAGAGUGACGAUUUAGUCUAUAUGGUUCCAGUAGAAGGUUAUUUCGAGAAAUUGUUAGAAGCUCACAAUCAAACUGGCCAUGGAGGUCGAGAUAAGAUGCUGUACUACAUGAAACAAAAAUGGCGCAUCCCCAAGAGUGCAUGUGAGAUAUUUAUUAGUUGUUGUGAGACAUGCAAUCGAAAAAAGUCAACGGCAAGAAAGGGCGUAGUUGUCAACCCAAUUUUUUCCUGGGGGUUCAACACUCGCGGUAAGGUCGACUUGAUUGAUUUCCAGUCAUGCCCCGAUGGAGAAUACAAGUGGCUUAUGAACUACCAGGACCACGCUACAAAAUUUAUACAUCUACGUCCUUUACAAUCCAAACACGCGGCUAAUGUAGCAGAAGAAUUGUCAAAAAUUUUCUUCACGUUUGGAGCUCCAGCUAUCUUACAGAGCGAUAAUGGCCGAGAAUUCGCUGCAAAUGUUGUCAGAGAACUUGUUUCUCUUUGGCCGAGCUGCAAGAUGGUUCACGGUCGUCCCAGACAUCCACAAACACAAGGAAGUGUGGAACGAGCCAACGCUGAUGUAGAAAAUAUGUUGCGAGCGUGGAUGAUUGAUAAUAAAUCGAAUGAAUGGGCAAGAGGCUGUUACGAAGUGCAGUGGCUGAAAAACACUUCGAAACACCGGGUAAUUAACAGGACGCCUUAUGAAGCUAUGUUCGAACCUAUAAAAAAUGGCGUGGCGAGUUUUAAUUUGCCCCGCGACGUUAUCGCCAAUUUAAAUACGGAAGAAGACUUGGAAAACGCUCUCCGAUUGCUCAGCGAUUCGGAUCAACAACAGCAACACCAAGAUAAUCCAACGGUACUGAGUACACAGGAAAAAACCCAGGAGCAUAUUUGUAUUGUUUGUGAAUCUGGUGUAUCACUUGAAAACGCAGUGACAUGUCAUGAAUGUGAUCUGGAAACGCACAUUAAUUGUGGGACCUUGGCCGAUCAAGAUACAUUUUUUUGCUCGUUAUGCUCAAGAAAAAAACAUAUCCAUGAUGUACAGGAAGAUUGCCAUAGGAGGCAGAAAUUGGCAGCAAAUAAAAUGGUGACAUUUUCUACUGAGAAAUUUCCAGAAUUGGCUGCUGGAGAUUGCAUUACACUAGCAGUUCCAACUGUAGAUGAGCCCCCCUUGACUUCAGCAGAAUCCUGGGCGUUGUUCUAGAUAAACAAAAUGAAGUAUAUCAAAUCGGAACUAAGGCAGGAAUAAUAAAGGGUUGGUUUUCUCGACAGGAGAUAUAGAAAUCAGGAGCCAGUAUGAUUACUCUUCUGGAUGUUCGGAGAGAUAAUUUUCUUACCCUUAGAGAAGCAGCGGCGGCGCAAUCAAAAUGCGAGGGCCAAGGUUACAAAAAAUUUAACUGCAAAGUGACAAAAGAGCAAUGUUCGACAAAGCGGUGUUCUUGCUUCAAAGCCAAUAUGAAAUGCGGAUCUCGGUGCCACAAUUCUAAUCCUUGUGCGAAUAAAGACUGUUAACUACAUUUUUUUUCUAAAUGAAUUAUAACAAAUUUUCAAAUGAUUUAUAUAAUAUUAUUAUGUUAUAUGAUUUUCUAGCUGACUAUAAUAGUUUAAUAAAUAUGACGCGUUGAUAUAUUUCAUGGAUAUACAUUUGCUUUUUUUAUUAUUUGCCUGGAGAUCCGGCCGGCAUUCAAUUAGAUGCCGGCAUUUAAGUAAAUCCCUAGGCAGAUAAUGGUAAAUGAAAGACAUCAAUACGAUUUUCAUUAAAUGCCGGCAUUUAUUUAGAUGACUAGGCUUUUAAUUAAAUGCCCGAUUUUAUUAGAUGCCUACGACAUAUCUAUAAUAAAACGAUGUCCCUCCCCAAUUGCUGAUUAUAGCUUAGUCACAAAUUAAUACAUCAAGCUCAUGCCGUAGGUGGAUUAUGAUAUAUAUGUACGGCGAUGGUCUGUUGAAGCAGGUCUUUGCACUGCAGGGUACGAGGCCAACUAACAGCUUUUAAAGCAAUGAACAGAUUUACCUUGCAUAGCUAGGAAGCCCCGCUCAAGAGAUCCUCGUAAUAUUUACUUGUGAAUAUUUACUAAUGUUCUUAUCUAACAUAAUUACUGUGAAGUGCAUAUCCGGCAGGUCUGGAAAAGUGUUUCAUGACGUGGACUGGACCGGGCAACUGCUCUGACUACUGAGCUACCCAGGCCGCUGCCGAAACACUUUUCCAAACUGCUAUCUGACUAGCCGAGAAAUGCCAUGUUACAUUACAUAUUUUGAUUUUAUUUGACGAAUUGUGUUUAUUACAGUAUGUGACGUUAAAAUUCUCCAUAAAUUGACAUGACUCACAAAAAUUUUGCGCAAAACUUUUGUAUUAUAUCAAUGUAAAUUAUAUAGAAAUACAAGUUUUUACACAAAAUUGUUACUGCACUCGUAGAGUCACUGUACUGUUGGAGUUCCACUGCAAUAUUAUUCGUGUCACUACCGAUGUACUACACUAUAAUAAUUCAGCAUUAUCGAAUUACACGUUAAAGAAAAGUACUUUCAAAAAAAAAAUAACAAUAAUAAAAGCCGAUCUGCUGGUAUAUUAUUAUCCAUUGUGCUACAGAUGUAUGCGACUUUUUCCCGAAGCAUGAUUGUUGCAUUACCACUAUCACAUUUGGUAAAAGUAUUGAUUAAUACUGAUGGAUUAGUCUCUAAUCAUUAAUACUGUUGAAAUCCUCACUACCCUUCAAACUUAUUACGCUAGUGGAUUUCACUACUCCACAUUAUUUGCAACCAGUAGUAAUUCCGCAUACAGAAGUUUUUACUACAGAAACAAAAGAAUAAAAUAUACAUAUCAAUGAGUUUUAUGUGUCAUAUCAAAAAAUAAUCUUUUAAAUUAUUGAGUAAUGCUAAUGAAAUUUACGUUUAAAUGAACUUAUUUCCUGUGAAAUAGUUCAACUGAAACUCAUUUCAUACAUAAACUAAUGAAUGUAAAGAUUAACGUAAAAUCAACCUCCGUUCUCUGCGGUGGAGUGACAAAAUACAUUCGACUUUUGUAAUAGAUGGGUACAUUGAAGAAUACAACAUAAUUUGUUUGUAUAUCCAUCUUCUUCAUCUUUUGGACAUGAUAAAUGAUUUCAUUUUGUUUUAAUAGCCAAAUUAUUAAUCCCGUAUAAGCUGAUGAUCGUUAUAGAUAGGUCAUACCAUUGCAAAAAUUUUAUUUAGAUUUUGAGCCUCGCAACUGAUUGAAUGACUUAAAAAACUACAUUGAAUAUGAUUGCCUCACGUUCUUGCAUGUCAUUUUUAGCAACAGUCGUUUGUCGCAUCACCCUCAUCACAUAUAUGCUGAAAUAAGUCCAACUGCCAUACCAUACUUUGAUCCUAAGAACAUAUCUUCUGUUACGGUAUUACGUAUUCCAUGUAGUGAUCUGAAACUAAUUUAGGAAGAAAUUCAACUAGUUAUUUACAAAUCAUGACUGUUUAGCAAAAAAUGGUCUUGUUUGCAGUGAAGUAUCAUAUAAAUGAGGAAUUUUCUCAUCUUAUUUUCGCUUAGAACAAUCGCAUGAGCUCCUUAUCUUUCUUUGUGACUUGGUGCAUACUUUAGUAGACUAACCCUUAAAAACUGUUGCAUUAAAGUUGGACAUUGAUAUAUCGAAGAAAAUUUAUUAUACGUUAACAAGACACAUUAACGUACGUUUAACAGUGUACAAAUUGCAAUCAUCAUUAUUAUUUCAUGCUAUACAUAAAUUUAAGACUUGGUAUAUUUUUUGAUUAUUGGUGAAGAUAAAUUUACUGCAUUUGGAAACCUUUUCAAACACAUUUGAUGCUUGGAAUAAAAAAUGAACUAUGUGGUGUUUCUUAGCACUCUUUUGAAAUACAUCGUUUAUGUUAUAUGGGUUCGUGUGUAUAGUACAAGUAUAUAAUAUAAUACAAGUACAUGCAUAUAUGCACGUCGUGCAUAAAAAUUGAUCUUAUAUCGAAUUAUUCCACUUUGCCUCAUCACGACUAUUCAUGCAUACUUCGCGUAGUGUGAUGAUCUGUCUCAGUUGAUGAUUCCAAGUUUGACACACAUACAAAAGUGGCAAUUGCGUUUAUAUUAUCGUUUUAUACUAAACCAUUUUCUUUAAAACUAAAAAGUACCACGAUAGCUUCGCGUUUGAAAUAGUGCCUAACAAAUUACAGGUGCACGUCAGGCAGUGGAAUGGCACUAAUCAAUAAAUAAUAUUGAAAUUAUGGCUAAUUAUGUACAUUAUACAAGACUAUUGGGAUAGAGUUCUGGAUAUAUUAGCGUAAAUUAAAGUGAUUGCUGUUUCAUAAAACAAUCAUGAGUGUAAUAUUGUUUGUUUUAUUUUACAUUAAAACUAGUUGUUGAUCAUUGAUUCGUUUACACAUUUGUAAACUUAUUAGAAAAAAAUUAUGUACAUUCUUAAGCUGGUGCUCAACUGAUGAACUUUUUUCCAAAUCACCCGAGAACUUUAUUAGUGGAAUUGAUUUACGACAAAGUUUCACCUGAAGAUUCUAAUAUUUGACAGAUUGACAGCUGUGAAUUUCGUAUUGAAAUUCCCCAUACCAGAGAAUUCGUGUCAACUUUAAUGAAGAUUGUACACAAUUAAAUAAAUUUCUGUCAUUUUGCUUGUUAUAGUUUUUACAUCUUUUUUUAUAUAGAAUUCGGGUAGAUAUAAUACUGGCAAAAUAAUUGCACGCAGACUUUCCAUUUAGCUUAAGGCACAAUAUUAAAAGCCAAGAACUCAUAAAGGCUUAGCUUAUUAUUAGUAUAAAAUACUCCAUUUUCUUCCUUCAACUCCUAUUCGACCAAUUCAAUUAGUAACUCAUAU